ACAAUACUGAGCCUGUAGUCGU
rnacentral:misc_RNA from 1 species